UUUAUGGAGAUGGUCAAGUUCCAACGACAGUGCAAGAGUCGUCUAGACAUUUUAUUUUUAAGAUACCGCCAACACCAAAAAAAAAGAAACCCCCAGAAACGUUGCCGGGUCUGUUAUAAAAAAGGGAAAAGGACAGACACCCCUUUUCACUGUCCCGAUUGCCAUACAAAACCUGGACUGUGCAUUGGAGAAUGUUUUAAGGUCUACCACACAGAAAAUACAUUUUUAGAAUACUUGUUCCUGAUUUAUUUUUUUUGUUUAUUUUGAAAGCAGCAAAUUUCUGUUAGUCAGUAUCCUUCCC